UACGUAGGGUGCAAGCGUUGUCCGGAAUUAUUGGGCGUAAAGAGCUCGUAGGCGGUUUGUCGCGUCUGCUGUGAAAACUCGGGGCUUAACUCCGGGCCUGCAGUGGGUACGGGCAGACUAGAGUGCGGUAGGGGAGACUGGAAUUCCUGGUGUAGCGGUGAAAUGCGCAGAUAUCGCUUGGAACGCCAACGGUGAAAACAGACGACUGGGAGUGUGCUGACGCUGAGACACGAAAGCCAGGGGAGCGAACGGG
rnacentral:rRNA from 1 species